rnacentral:rRNA from 1 species
GGAAUUGCUGUAAUGGCAGGUCAGCAUACUGCCGUGAAUACGUUCCCGGGCCUUGUACACACCGCCCGUCACACCAUGAGAGUUGGGAAUACCCGAAGCCUGUGAGCUAACGUUAGGAGGCAGCAGUCGAAGGUAGAAUCAAUGAUUGGGGUGAAGUCGUAACAAGGUACC